UUGAGAAAUCGGGAAAUAGGGAAAUCGAGAAAUGGGGAAAUCGAGAAAUUGAGAAAGCAAAAACGCGAAAACACGAAAGCGAAAACGCGAAAUGAAUUUCUCGAUUUCGCGUUUUUUCUUUCUCGAUUUUCCGAUUUCUCAAUUUCCCAAUUUCUCGAUUUCUCAAUUUCUCGAUUUCUCGAU
rnacentral:sRNA from 1 species